rnacentral:rRNA from 1 species
AGCGAACGCUGGCGGCAGGCUUAACACAUGCAAGUCGAGCGGGCACUUCGGUGUCAGCGGCAGACGGGUGAGUAACACGUGGGAACGUACCUUUCGGUUCGGAAUAACGCUGGGAAACUAGCGCUAAUACCGGAUACGCCCUUUUGGGGAAAGGUUUACUGCCGAAGGAUCGGCCCGCGUCUGAUUAGCUAGUUGGUGGGGUAAUGGCCUACCAAGGCGACGAUCAGUAGCUGGUCUGAGAGGAUGAUCAGCCACACUGGGACUGAGACACGGCCCAGACUCCUACGGGAGGCAGCAGUGGGGAAUAUUGGACAAUGGGCGCAAGCCUGAUCCAGCCAUGCCGCGUGAGUGAUGAAGGCCUUAGGGUUGUAAAGCUCUUUUGUCCGGGACGAUAAUGACGGUACCGGAAGAUUAAGCCCCGGCUAACUUCGUG